GGCCCGUUAGCUCAGUUGGUUAGAGCGUCGUGCUAAUAACGCGAAGGUCGCGGGUUCGAUCCCCUCACGGGUCA
rnacentral:tRNA from 1 species